rnacentral:tRNA from 1 species
GCCGGGAUAGCUCAGUUGGUAGAGCAGAGGACUGAAAAUCCUCUACUAAGUAUACACCCUUUUAAGUAAAACUCCCAUUCCGUAAGGCUUUGGGAGUUUUUUAAUUUAAAUUUACAAAGUCUUAUCGGUA